UACGUAGGCAGCGAGCGUUGUUCGGAGUUACUGGGCGUAAAGGGUGUGUAGGCGGUUGUUUAAGUUUGGUGUGAAAUCUCCCGGCUCAACUGGGAGGGUGCGCCGAAUACUGAAUGACUAGAGUGCGGGAGAGGAAAGUGGAAUUCCUGGUGUAGCGGUGAAAUGCGUAGAUAUCAGGAGGAACACCGGUGGUGUAGACGGCUUCUGGACCGUAACUGACGCUGAGACACGAAAGCGUGGGUAGCAAACAGG
rnacentral:rRNA from 1 species